rnacentral:rRNA from 1 species
CGUAAGUAACCUGCCUUUAAGACGAGGAUAACAACCGGAAGGUUACUAAGACUGGAUAGGAAACAAAAAGGCAUCUUUUUGUUUUUAAAAGACCUUCUUACGAAGGUAUGCUUAAAGAGGGGCUUGCGCCACAUUAGUUAGUUGGUAGAGUAAAAGCCUACCAAGACGAUGAUGUGUAGCUGGACUGAGAGGUUGAACAGCCACAUUGGGACUGAGACACGGCCCAAACUCCUACGGGAGGCAGCAGUAGGGAAUUUUCGGCAAUGGAGGAAACUCUGACCGAGCAACGCCGCGUGAACGAUGAAGUAUUUCGGUAUGUAAAGUUCUUUUAUUGAAGAAGAAAAAGUAGUGGAAAAACUAUAUUGACGUUAUUCAAUGAAUAAGCCCCGGCUAACUAUGUGCCAGCAGCCGCGGUAAGACAUAGGGGGCGAGCGUUAUCCGGAAUUAUUGGGCGUAAAGGGUGCGUAGGCUGUUAGAUAAGUCUAUAAUUUAAUUUCAGUGCUUAACGCUGUCUUGUUAUAGAAACUGUCUUGACUAGAGUGAGAUAGAGGCAAGCGGAAUUCCAUGUGUAGCGGUAAAAUGUGUAAAUAUAUGGAGGAACACCAGAAGCGUAGGCGGCUUGCUGGGUCUUUACUGACGCUGAGGCACGAAAGCGUGGGUAGCAAACAGGAUUAGAUACCCUGGUAGUCCACGCCGUAAACGAUGAGUACUAAGUGUCGGGGUAAAACUCGGUACUGAAGUUAACACAUUAAGUACUCCGCCUGAGUAGUACGUACGCAAGUAUGAAACUUAAAGGAAUUGACGGGACUCCGCACAAGCGGUGGAUCAUGUUGUUUAAUUCGAAGAUACACGAAAAAUCUUACCAGGUCUUGACAUACUCUGCAAAGCUAUAGAAAUAUAGUGGAGGUUAUCAGGGAUACAGGUGGUGCAUGGUUGUCGUCAGUUCGUGUCGUGAGAUGUUAGGUUAAGUCCUAAAACGAACGCAACCCUUGUCGUUAAUUGCCAGCACAUAAUGGUGGGGACUUUAACGAGACUGCCAAUUAAACAUUGGAGGAAGGUGAGGAUUACGUCAAAUCAUCAUGCCCCUUAUGAUCUGGGCUACAAACGUGAUACAAUGGCUGUGACAAAGAGUAGCUGAAACGCGAGUUUUUAGCCAAUCUCAAAAAAGCAGUCUCAGUUCGGAUUGAAGUCUGUAACUCGACUUCAUGAAGUUGGAAUCGCUAGUAAUCGCGAAUCAGCAUGUCGCGGUGAAUACGUUCUCGGGGUUUGUACACACCGCCCGUCAAACCACGAAAGUUAGCAAUGCCCGAAAGCAGUAGCUU